GUGAGCCGCAUGCGGGGAGACCCGCACGUACGGUUUUCAGGGGGAUCCGGC
rfam:Triticum urartu cultivar G1812 contig315223, whole genome shotgun sequence.